AAUCAUUGCCCCAGUACGGCGAGUGAGCGGCAACAGCUCAAAUUUGAAAUCUGGCCCUUUCGGGUCCGAGUUGUAAUUUGUAGAGGAUGCUUUUGGCAAGGCGCCGCCCGAGUUCCCUGGAACGGGACGCCACAGAGGGUGAGAGCCCCGUCUGGCUGGCCGCCGAGCCUCUGUAAAGCUCCUUCGACGAGUCGAGUAGUUUGGGAAUGCUGCUCAAAAUGGGAGGUAUAUGUCUUCUAAAGCUAAAUAUUGGCCAGAGACCGAUAGCGCACAAGUAGAGUGAUCGAAAGAUGAAAAGCACCUUGAAAAGAGGGUUAAAUAGUACGUGAAAUUGUUGAAAGGGAAGCGCUUGUGACCAGACUUGGGCGCGGCGGAUCAUCCGGGGUUCUCCCCGGUGCACUUCGCCGUGUCCAGGCCAGCAUCAGUUCGUCGCGGGGGAAAAAGGCUUCGGGAACGUGGCUCCCCUGGGAGUGUUAUAGCCCGUUGCAUAAUACCCUGCGGUGGACUGAGGACCGCGCAUCUGCAAGGAUGCUGGCGUAAUGGUCACCAGCGACCCGUCUUGAAACACGGACCA
rnacentral:rRNA from 1 species